rnacentral:rRNA from 1 species
GCGGUCGGUUUACAGGUGGUGCAUGGUUGUCGUCAGCUCGUGUCGUGAGAUGUUGGGUUAAGUCCCGCAACGAGCGCAACCCUCGUUCUAUGUUGCCAGCACGUGAUGGUGGGGACUCAUAGGAGACUGCCGGGGUCAACUCGGAGGAAGGUGGGGACGACGUCAAAUCAUCAUGCCCCUUAUGUCUUGGGCUUCACGCAUGCUACAAUGGCCGGUACAAAGGGUUGCGAUACUGUGAGGUGGAGCUAAUCCCAAAAAGCCGGUCUCAGUUCGGAUUGGGGUCUGCAACUCGACCCCAUGAAGUCGGAGUCGCUAGUAAUCGCAGAUCAGCAACGCUGCGGUGAAUACGUUCCCGGGCCUUGUACACACCGCCCGUCAAGUCACGAAAGUUGGUAACACCCGAAGCCGGUGGCCUAACCCCUGGAGGGAGGGAGCUGUCGAAGGUGG